rnacentral:ncRNA from 2 species
GGGUGAUCACGCCGCCGGGCGUGACAGGAUGUGCGAUGGUCGGGCCGCCACG